UUGCCUCUCGAAAAACACGACCGUUGAACACGUGACAGAACGCUGCCGGAGAGGCGCCCGCCGCCUCCUCGGCCCCACCGGCCUCGUCCCUCUAGCCCUCCGGGCGAGUUGGAUGCUGGCCGGAACACGGCGCGGGAUGACGCCAAGGAACACGAUAGAAGCURAGGCGCCGGCCGGCCGCUUAAGGGCCUGCGCCGGGCGCCGAGGCCAAUGAGAA
rnacentral:misc_RNA from 1 species